rnacentral:rRNA from 1 species
AGAACGAACGCUGGCGGCAGGCCUCAAACAUGCAAGUCUAGGGGGUGUAGCAAUACAUCACCGGCGGACGGGUGCGUAACGCGUGGGAAUAUACCUAUUGGUUCGGAACAACUGAGGGAAACUUCAGCUAAUACCGGAUGAGCCCUAACGGGGAAAGAUUUCUCGCCAAUAGAUUAGCCCGCGUCCGAUUAGCUAGUUGGUGGGGUAAAAGCCUACCAAGGCGACGAUCGGUAGCUGUUCUGAGAGGAAGAUCAGCCACACUGGGACUGAGACACGGCCCAGACUCCUACGGGAGGCAGCAGUUGGGAAUCUUGGACAAUGGGGGAAACCCUGAUCCAGCCAUGCCGCGUGAGUGAUGAAGGCCUUCGGGUUGUAAACUCUUUCGACGGGGACGAUAAUGACGGUACCCGUAGAAGAAGCUCCGGCUAACUUCGUGCCAGCAGCCGC